AUCGUUUGUUGCAUCACUGUAGCGUAAUGGACUUCUAAUUCAUAGGUCGUGGGUUCGAAUCCCACCUGAGAUA